rnacentral:rRNA from 1 species
UAGUGAUCCGGUGGUUCCGCAUGGAAGGGCCAUCGCUCAACGGAUAAAAGCUACCCCGGGGAUAACAGGCUUAUCUCCCCCAAGAGUUCACAUCGACGGGGAGGUUUGGCACCUCGAUGUCGGCUCAUCGCAUCCUGGGGCUGUAGUCGGUCCCAAGGGUUGGGCUGUUCGCCCAUUAAAGCGGUACGCGAGCUGGGUUCAGAACGUCGUGAGACAGUUCGGUCCCUAUCCGUCGUGGGCGUAGGAAAUUUGAGAGGAGCUGUCCUUAGUACGAGAGGACCGGGAUGGACAUACCUCUGGUGUACCAGUUGUCGUGCCAACGGCAUAGCUGGGUAGCUAUGUGUGGACGGGAUAAGUGCUGAAAGCAUCUAAGCAUGAAGCCCCCCUCAAGAUGAGAUUUCCCAACUUCGGUUAUAAGAUCCCUCAAAGAUGAUGAGGUUAAUAGGUUCGAGGUGGAAGCAUGGUGACAUGUGGAGCUGACGAAUACUAA